rnacentral:lncRNA from 1 species
GCCACUUAAGCCUAGUUGUCAUCCCCAGCAUGACAUGAGAGACGCAGUAUUGAAAUAUGCAAUUGCUCUUCUGAAUGAAUAAUAAAUGCGAUCUGCAAGCGCACAGAUUAAUACCGAUGUAGCAUUUUAAUCGAGAAGUAUUCCAGGUAUCGUUAUUUAUAUUUUUACCACUGGGAAGGGAUUGCUAAUCAUCAAUGUUGAUUAUGGAAUGGAAAAUGGAAUUGAGUAUCUAUCAUUGCAAGACAGGAGUACGCCCAUGCAUAGUGAUAUUAUCAAGGAAGAUGAGAAACAUAGCAAUCACUCCCCUGUAAUAAUGUUGCUCUGCCCGCCCUAUACACGAGAGGGGGACUAUAUAAGAAUCAAUGGAGCUGUCACCACCACGAACUACCCUGCGAUCCGACAUAUAGGGUACAAUCGCAGAUAAAUACGGUAUAGGCACCACGCCUACACAAUACUUAUCAUUUACCCACUGUACACAUGGAUAAACGCUAUACGAUCCUAAACAUGUAUAUAAUUCCAAUCUAACUAAGCCAAGCAUAUAACUAUGAUAAACUAAGAACGAUAUAAUUGCA